UACGUAGGGUGCAAGCGUUAAUCGUAAUUACUGGGCGUAAAGCGUGCGCAGGCGGUUUCGCAAGUCAGAUGUGAAAUCCCCGGGCUCAACCUGGGAACUGCAUUUGAAACUACGAGGCUUGAGUGUAGCAGAGGGGGGUAGAAUUCCACGUGUAGCAGUGAAAUGCGUAGAGAUGUUGAGGAAUACCGAUGGCGAAGGCAGCCCCCUGGGUUAACACUGACGCUCAUGCACGAAAGCGUGGGGAGCAAACAGG
rnacentral:rRNA from 1 species